GCAGCACGGGGGCAACCCUGGUGGCGAGUGGCGAACGGGUGAGUAACAUAUCGGAACGUGCCCUGGAGUGGGGGAUAACUAGUCGAAAGAUUAGCUAAUACCGCAUACGAUCUACGGAUGAAAGUGGGGGAUCGCAAGACCUCAUGCUCGUGGAGCGGCCGAUAUCUGAUUAGCUAGUUGGUGGGGUAAAGGCCUACCAAGGCAUCGAUCAGUAGCUGGUCUGAGAGGACGACCAGCCACACUGGGACUGAGACACGGCCCAGACUCCUACGGGAGGCAGCAGUGGGGAAUUUUGGACAAUGGGCGCAAGCCUGAUCCAGCAAUGCCGCGUGAGUGAAGAAGGCCUUCGGGUUGUAAAGCUCUUUUGUCAGGGAAGAAACGGUUCGGGUUAAUACCUUGGGCUAAUGACGGUACCUGAAGAAUAAGCACCGGCUAACUACGUGCCAGCAGCCGCGGUAAUACGUAGGGUGCAAGCGUUAAUCGGAAUUACUGGGCGUAAAGCGUGCGCAGGCGGUUGUGCAAGACAGAUGUGAAAUCCCCGGGCUCAACCUGGGAAUUGCAUUUGUGACUGUACGGCUAGAGUGUGUCAGAGGGGGGUAGAAUUCCACGUGUAGCAGUGAAAUGCGUAGAGAUGUGGAGGAAUACCGAUGGCGAAGGCAGCCCCCUGGGAUAACACUGACGCUCAUGCACGAAAGCGUGGGGAGCAAACAGGANUAGAUACCCUGGNAGUCCACGCCCUAAACGAUGUCUACUAGUUGUCGGGUCUUUAUUGACUUGGNAACGCAGCUAACGCGUGAAGUAGACCGCCUGGGGAGUANGGUCGCAAGAUUAAAACUCAAAGGAAUUGACGGGGACCCGCACAAGCGGUGGA
rnacentral:rRNA from 1 species